rnacentral:tRNA from 1 species
GCAGGGAUGCCUGAGAUGGCUUAAAGGAGCGGAUUGCAAAUCCGAUGUUCGGGGGUUCGAAUCCCCCUCCCUGCU